AUUGAACGCUGGCGGCAUGCCUUACACAUGCAAGUCGAACGGUAACAGGUCUUCGGAUGCUGACGAGUGGCGAACGGGUGAGUAAUACAUCGGAACGUGCCUAGUCGUGGGGGAUAACUACUCGAAAGAGUGGCUAAUACCGCCUGAGAUCUACGGAUGAAAGCAGGGGAUCGCAAGACCUUGUGCUACUAGAGCGGCCGAUGGCAGAUUAGGUAGUUGGUGGGAUAAAAGCUUACCAAGCCGACGAUCUGUAGCUGGUCUGAGAGGACGAUCAGCCACACUGGGACUGAGACACGGCCCAGACUCCUACGGGAGGCAGCAGUGGGGAAUUUUGGACAAUGGGCGCAAGCCUGAUCCAGCAAUGCCGCGUGCAGGAUGAAGGCCUUCGGGUUGUAAACUGCUUUUGUACGGAACGAAAAGCCCUGGGUUAAUACCCUGGGGUCAUGACGGUACCGUAAGAAUAAGCACCGGCUAACUACGUGCCAGCCGCCGCAGUAA
rnacentral:rRNA from 1 species